UACGUAGGGUGCGAGCGUUAAUCGGAAUUACUGGGCGUAAAGCGUGCGCAGGCGGUUUUGUAAGCCAGAUGUGAAAUCCCCGGGCUUAACCUGGGAAUGGCAUUUGGGACUGCAAGGCUCGAGUGCGGCAGAGGAGACUGGAAUUCUCGGUGUAGCGGUGAAAUGCGUAGAUAUCGAGAGGAACACCUGCGGCGAAGGCGGCAUCCUGGACCAACACUGACGCUGAGGAGCGAAAGCCAGGGAGCAAACGGG
rnacentral:rRNA from 1 species